GAGUUUGAUUCUGGCUCAGAACGAACGCUGGCGGCAGGCCUAAUACAUGCAAGUCGAACGCUGUAGCAAUACAGAGUGGCGCACGGGUGCGUAACACGUGGGAAUAUGCCUUUUGGUACGGAACAACUCCGGGAAACUGGAGCUAAUACCGUAUGGUCCCUUCGGGGUAAAGAUUUAUCGCCAAAAGAUUAGCCCGCGCCUGAUUAGCUAGUUGGUGAGGUAAUGGCUCACCAAGGCGACGAUCAGUAGCUGGUCUGAGAGGACGACCAGCCACACUGGGACUGAGACACGGCCCAGACUCCUACGGGAGGCAGCAGUAGGGAAUAUUGGACAAUGGGCGAAAGCCUGAUCCAGCCAUGCCGCGUGAGUGAUGAAGGCCUUCGGGUUGUAAAGCUCUUUAGCCCGCGAAUAAAAUGACUGUAGCGGGAGAAUAAGCCCCGGCUAACUUCGUGCCAGCAGCCGCGGUAAUACGAAGGGGGCGAGCGUUGUUCGGAAUUACUGGGCGUAAAGCGUGCGUAGGCCGCUUUGCAAGUUGGGAGUGAAAUCCCCAGGCUCAACCUGGGAAUUGCUUUCAAAACUGCAAAGCUUGU
rnacentral:rRNA from 1 species